UAAGCGGAGGAAAAGAAACUAACAAGGAUUCCCCUAGUAACUGCGAGUGAAGCGGGAAAAGCUCAAAUUUGGAAUCUGGUGGUCUUUGGCCAUCCGAGUUGUAAUUUAGAGAAGCGUCUUCCGCGCUGGACCGUGCACAAGUCUCCUGGAAUGGAGCGUCAUAGAGGGUGAGAAUCCCGUCUUUGGCAUGGAAUCCCAGGGCUUCUGUGAUGCGCUCUCGACGAGUCGAGUUGUUUGGGAAUGCAGCUCAAAAUGGGUGGUGAACUCCAUCUAAAGCUAAAUAUUGGCGAGAGACCGAUAGCGAACAAGUACCGUGAGGGAAAGAUGAAAAGCACUUUGGAAAGAGAGUGAAACAGUACGUGAAAUUGUUGAAAGGGAAACGCUUGAAGUCAGUCGCGUCGACCGAGACUCAGCCUUGCCUCGGCUUGGUGUACUUCUCGGCUUGACGGGUCAGCAUCGAUUUCAAUCCUCGGAUAAUGGCAAGGGAAAGGUAGCACCUUUUUAGGUGUGUUAUAGUCCUCUGUCGCAUGCGAGGGUCGGGAUCGAGGAACUCAGCACGCACCUCAGGGUGUCGGGGCCUUGGCCCACGUUUACGUGCUUNNNANNCUGGCGUAAUGGCUUUAAACGACC
rnacentral:rRNA from 1 species